UAACACCUUGCAUUUCACGUGUACAUCUCCAGCACAUCAAGAAAACUAAGGCCCUUCAUAAAAUUUUGUUAGCACCUUCCGUUUUAUUAGGUAGUGUCGCCUUUUUCUUUUGAAUUUAAUCAACUAACAAAAAAUAAAUAAUUACGCAUCCGUGAGCUCAUGGUUUCCGCGCUGUUUUUUCCGCCUUUCCCAACGAGAAGCAAUCGUUUUCAAAUGCAAGGACGCCGACAUUAGCAAUAACCACCUGCGGAGCACGUAUUCAACACAAUAUUAACGAGCAGUAUAGUAAAGAAUCUUUUGGUCAGUAAUUGUUUAUAUGGAUUUUAUAUGAAACUGGACAACUUUUAGGUAAAAACGUUGGUAUAUACCUUGAAGCUUUGCCGUUCAUCGCUUGCCGACAAUACAGUGGCAUCGAGACAGAAUUCAAGCUUCGAGACGGAGCUUUGAAAAUUCAAGACAAGUUUUCAUCUGUUGUGUUUGCAGACAACAUACCUACAUUUAAAAGAAUGGAUACAAGAUAGAAAGCUAGUAAUGAGGAGCUCGCACGUGUCUACAUUUUAUGGACCGUGGAAUAGUGAGCAGAAUAUAUAGAGAAAUGGAGACCGGUCAUUUCCGGCGUGAAAAUCCUUACCUUGCACCUUACGCAAUACUGACUACUGCUAUCACUAUCUUUUUACUUGUCUUAUUAUCCUGCAUUUACUACUGCACGGACCGUCAUGUGCGUCGGAGAUUACUGUGGAACAGAACACAAGCGAAUCCCUCUCAGCCAGUACUGCCAACAGUAUCUGCAGCACUUCAGGAAGACGUCCAUUCGUCUGCUAUUUGCGUCAACGAUGUACCUCCGGAUUAUACAGUAGUGGUUGAUCAAAAGACUAUGGCAGCUCAUAUUAGUGUUAAUUUAAAUCGUUAUCCUAAAAUUGUAGGUGGUAAAAAGCUGGAAACCCCUCCUCCAGCGUAUAUAACAGUGGCACCUUUUAAGUGAUGCUAGUUUACCCAUAGACUUGAUGACUGUUUAUAAGCAGUGGUGUUGAAAAAAUGAAUGUUAGCCAAUCUUUGCCUCGAUGGUACUUUGAUACUUGAUAUAGUAAUUAUUAAUGCUAGUGAUGCAAGCUUACCCAUCAGUUUGGAGAUUUUAGAGAAUCAGUGGUAUAGAAAUGAUGGUCAGGGCGUUAACUUUCUGGGGCAUUCAACAGCAUCGAUAUAUUUGUCGUUCAAAAUUGAAAGAAAUGCUCUACUUCAUCUUCAUGGCACCAAAUAAUUUUUUUAUUUUUAUUUUAGAGGAGUAAAAUUAAAUAGCUGCCAGGAUAUUAUUCUUGCAAGUCAGAAUGCCGAGGGUGUAUUCUAAUUAUUUGGUGUUUAAAAGUGACUGAGAAGAGUUGAAGGGUUCACACCUGAAACAUUUGUUUUGCCCCGACCCUCGUAAGAUGCAUUGGCUUACAAAUAUUCUAUUGUCUAUAAAAUAAAUAUGAAUAAAAUAAAAUUAAGAAUGACAAAAGGAACAAAUGCAAUUAAAGAGUCACUUAUUGAAUAAUUUUUAACAAAUGAAGGUACUUUUUUUUUUUUGUCUUUCUUCAUAUCGAAAUUUAUAAAAUCAUUUAUGACUUGGUGGGAAUGUUUACUCCGAAAUUUUCUCACAUAAUCUCGAAUAAAGAUCAUACUCCCCCCCCCACCCC